rnacentral:rRNA from 1 species
AAGUAGAACGCUGACUACUUUAGCUUGCUAGAGUAGAAGGAGUUGCGAACGGGUGAGUAACGCGUAGGUAACCUGCCUACUAGCGGGGGAUAACUAUUGGAAACGAUAGCUAAUACCGCAUAACAGUGUUUAACACAUGUUAGAUGCUUGAAAGAUGCAAUUGCAUCACUAGUAGAUGGACCUGCGUUGUAUUAGCUAGUUGGUGGGGUAACGGCCCACCAAGGCGACGAUACAUAGCCGACCUGAGAGGGUGAUCGGCCACACUGGGACUGAGACACGGCCCAGACUCCUACGGGAGGCAGCAGUAGGGAAUCUUCGGCAAUGGGGGCAACCCUGACCGAGCAACGCCGCGUGAGUGAAGGAGGUUUUCGGAUCGUAAAGCUCUGUUGUAAGAGAAGAACGUGUGUGAGAGUGGAAAGUUCACACAGUGACGGUAACUUACCAGAAAGGGACGGCUAACUACGUGCCAGCAGCCGCGGUAAUACGUAGGUCCCGAGCGUUGUCCGGAUUUAUUGGGCGUAAAGCGAGCGCAGGCGGUUUAAUAAGUCUGAAGUUAAAGGCAGUGGCUUAACCAUUGUUCGCUUUGGAAACUGUUAAACUUGAGUGCAGAAGGGGAGAGUGGAAUUCCAUGUGUAGCGGUGAAAUGCGUAGAUAUAUGGAGGAACACCGGUGGCGAAAGCGGCUCUCUGGUCUGUAACUGACACUGAGGC